UGUGGUUAAAAUUAAAAAUAUUUAUUUUUUUUGACGAAUGAACGGAAAAUUAUAGUUUUAUGUUUCUUUACUAUAGUAAAGAAAUGUCAGAUUAAAAAAAUAUUUCGUGAUAACACGUAAUUUUGCAACUCUACGACUUACAUUCUCUUUUUAAACAUAUGGAUGAUUGUCCAAUUAUAGCUGGCCGAUUGGAUUGUGCUGACCAUUAACAUGGCCCAACGCUAACGCAUAUGCUUCCAUUGUUAGGUCCCAUAUAAGUCAGUCGUGAUUAAAUAAUGACCUUGAAAAAAAACCAGCACAGUGGGGUCACGGCAAAGUAUGGACGUUGCAUAGUUGGGUCCAGUAUAGAUUUAAUCUGACAGUGAUUAAAAUCACUUUCAUAAGAAACGCUUAGAUGCAAAUCUGUAGAUAGUGUUUAAUUCUAAGAAAUUGAUGGAUAAUUACAAAAGCAACAUCAACUUCUAUUUCCUUAA